rnacentral:tRNA from 1 species
UGCUUUGGCUCAGUGGUUAGAGCGUAGGUCACGAGACGUUUCGGUUACGAAACCGAAAGGCCGCGGGAUCGUAUCCCGCUAGAGGCUG